rnacentral:rRNA from 1 species
UACAGAGGUCUCAAGCGUUGUUCGGAUUCAUUGGGCGUAAAGGGUGCGUAGGUGGCGGGGUAAGUCUGGUGUGAAAUCUCGGGGCUCGACCCCGAAACUGCACUGGAUACUGCCUUGCUCGAGUACUGGAGAGGAGAUUGGAAUUUACGGUGUAGCAGUGAAAUGCGUAGAUAUCGUAAGGAAGACCAGUGGCGAAGGCGAAUCUCUGGACAGUUACUGACACUGAGGCACGAAGGCCAGGGGAGCAAACGGG